CGAUACUUUUAAAACCGGUUAUCUAAGAACCGAUUUUGCAUACUACAUAUAAAAUCGGUUCUUAAAUAACCAAUUUUAAAAGUAGCA
rnacentral:miRNA from 1 species